GUGCCAGCAGCCGCGGUAAUACGUAGGGUGCGAGCGUUGUCCGGAAUUACUGGGCGUAAAGAGCUCGUAGGUGGCUCGUCGCGUUGUUCGUGAAAAAUCAAAGCUUAACUGUGGGCGUGCGGGCGAUACGGGCAGACUGGAGUACUGUAGGGGAGACUGGAAUUCCUGGUGUAGCGGUGGAAUGCGUAGAUAUCAGGAGGAACACCGGUGGCGAAGGCGGGUCUCUGGGCAGUAACUGACGCUGAGGAGCGAAAGCGUGGGGAGCGAACAGGAUUAGAUACCCUGGUAGUCCACGCCGUAAACGGUGGGUACUAGGUGUGGGUUUCCUUCCUUUAGGGAUCCGUGCCGUAGCUAACGCAUUAAGUACCCCGCCUGGGGAGUACGGCCGCAAGGCUAAAACUCAAAUGAAUUGGCGG
rnacentral:rRNA from 1 species